GAUGAACGCUGGCGGCGUGCCUAAUACAUGCAAGUCGAGCGAACGGACGAGAAGCUUGCUUCUCUGAUGUUAGCGGCGGACGGGUGAGUAACACGUGGAUAACCUACCUAUAAGACUGGGAUAACUUCGGGAAACCGGAGCUAAUACCGGAUAAUAUUUUGAACCGCAUGGUUCAAAAGUGAAAGACAGUCUUGCUGUCACUUAUAGAUGGAUCCGCGCUGCAUUAGCUAGUUGGUAAGGUAACGGCUUACCAAGGCAACGAUGCAUAGCCGACCUGAGAGGGUGAUCGGCCACACUGGAACUGAGACACGGUCCAGACUCCUACGGGAGGCAGCAGCAGGGAAUCUUCCGCAAUGGGCGAAAGCCUGACGGAGCAACGCCGCGUGAGUGAUGAAGGUCUUCGGAUCGUAAAACUCUGUUAUUAGGGAAGAACAUAUGUGUAAGUAACUGUGCACAUCUUGACGGUACCUAAUCAGAAAGCCACGGCUAACUACGUG
rnacentral:rRNA from 1 species